ACUGGCACUUGGAGAGUGGCAAGUCUUCCAGUAUGGGGAGCAAAACAGCUAUGGGUCAAGUCCGAUAUCUUUAGGAGAAGUCUUAUUGUGAGGGCGAGUUAUAUAACACCAUAGGACUGGCCGUCCCAUAUGAAAAGAUUAUAUUAGAAUUGAAUGAAGCUUUGUUUAUAUAUUGAUAAUGACAGUAUAUAUAUCGUGUCUUGACUAAUUGCGUGCCAGCAGUCGCGGUAAUACGUAAGAGACUAGUGUUAUUCAUCUUAAUUAGGUUUAAAGGGUACCCAGACGGUCAAUAUAGCUUAUAAAAUGUUAGUACUUGACUAGAGUUUUAUGUAAGAGGGCAGUACUUGAGGAGGAGAGAUGAAAUUUCGUGAUACCAAAGGGACUCUGUAAAGGCGAAGGCAGCCCUCUAUGUAAAAACUGACGUUGAAGGACGAAGGCACAGAGAACAAACAGGAUUAGAUACCCAAGUAGUCUUUGCAGUAAAUGAUGAAUGCCAUAGGUUAGAUUAAUCAAAUAUAGUCUAGGGUUAGUCUAGCAAACUAAUGACCUAUACUAUAAUGAAAAAUAUCUGGUCUAUAAAUGAAAGUGUAAGCAUUUCACCUCAAGAGUAAUGUGGCAACGCAGGAACUGAAAUCACUAGACCGUUUCUGACACCAGUAGUGAAGUAUGUUAUUUAAUUCGAUAAUCC
rnacentral:rRNA from 1 species